CGUGUGGGCAACCUGCCCUGUACUGGGGAAUAAUCAUUGGAAACGAUGACUAAUACCGCAUGUGGUCCUCGGAAGGCAUCUUCUGAGGAAGAAAGGAUUUAUUCGGUACAGGAUGGGCCCGCAUCUGAUUAGCUAGUUGGUGAGAUAACAGCCCACCAAGGCGACGAUCAGUAGCCGACCUGAGAGGGUGAUCGGCACAUUGGGACUGAGACACGGCCCAA
rnacentral:rRNA from 1 species